UGAAUACGAGAUGCUACGGCGUCGAAGCAGUGUAUGUCAGACUUCCAAGAAAAGCUCGCAAUGUCAUAAAUAAAGAAUGCCUGUACCAUAACCGACACAGGUGGGUAGGUAGAGUAUACUAAGGGGCGCGAGAUAACUCUCUCUAAGGAACUCGGCAAAAUAACUCCGUAACUUCGGGAGAAGGAGUGCCUUCUUUAAGAAGGUUGCAAUAACAAGAUCCAAGCAACUGUUUAUCAAAAACACAGGUCUCCGCUAAGUCGUAAGACGAUGUAUGGGGGCUGACGCCUGCCCAGUGCCAGAAGGUUAAAGAAGUUGGUUAGCUUUUGCGAAGCUGAUGACUGAAGCCCUGGUGAACGGCGGCCGUAACGAUAACGGUCCUAAGGUAGCGAAAUUCCUUGUCGGGUAAGUUCCGACCCGCACGAAAGGCGUAAUGAUUUGGAUACUGUCUCGGAGAGGGACUCGGUGAAAUAGACUUGUCUGUGAAGAUGCGGACUACCUGCACCAGGACAGAAAGACCCUAUGAAGCUUUACUGUAACUUGAAAUUGAAAUUGGACUUUAUUUGCGCAGUAUAGGUGGAAGGCGUUGAAAGUAAUCUUGCGGGAUUAGUGGAGCCAUCAGUGAGAUACCACUCCUAUAAUGUUAGAUUUCUAACUUUGGAUCAUGAUCUGGUCAAAGAACAGUUUCAGGCGGGCAGUUUGACUGGGGCGGUCGCCUCCCAAAUGGUAACGGAGGCGUACAAAGGUUUCCUCUGAACGGGUAGAAAUCGUAUCUAGAGUGUAAAGGCAUAAGGAAGCUUGACUGUGAGACCUACAAGUCGAGCAGGGACGAAAGUCGGUCUUAGUGAUCUGACGGUGCUGAGUGGAAAGGCCGUCACUCAACGGAUAAAAGUUACUCUAAGGAUAACAGGCUGAUCUCCCCCAAGAGUUCACAUCGACGGGGAGGUUUGGCACCUGAUGUCGGCUCAUCGCAUCCUGGGGCGGUAGUACGUCCCAAGGGUUGGGCUGUUCGCCCAUGAAAGCGGUACGCGAGCUGGGUUCAGAACGUCGUGAGACAGUUCGGUCCAUAUCCGGUGUAGGCGUUAGAAUAUUGAGAGGAGCCUUCUUUAGUACGAGAGGACCGAGAAGGACAUACCUCUGGUGUACCAGUUAUCGUGCCAACGGUAAACGCUGGGUAGCUAUGUAUGGAGAGGAUAACCGCUGAAAGCAUCUAAGUGGGAAGCCCACCUCAAGAUGAGUAUUCUCAU
rnacentral:rRNA from 1 species